GGGGAUGGGGCUCAGUGGUAGAGCCCUUGCCUUGCAUUCAUGAGGCACUGAGUUAGAUCCUCAGCCCCA
rnacentral:tRNA from 1 species